ensembl:snRNA U1 U1 spliceosomal RNA
GGUCUUGCCUGGCAGGGAAGAUGCUAUGAUCAUCAAAGUGGUUUUCCCAAGGUAGGCCUCAUCAUUGCACUCUGAGCAUGCUGAUCCCCAAAUGAGCAUGCAAAUUCCCCAAUUUCCCCAAAUGCAGGAAACUUGGCUGUAUAAUUUGGGGUGUUGAGAGACUGCUAAUCCACAAAACAUCCUUCUUC